rnacentral:lncRNA from 1 species
CUCGGGGGAGGGGUUAGGGGGCGGGGCCCGAGAUGGGAGCUCGGGCAGGAGCGCGCGCAGGGCUCCGGCCGCCUCAAGAUGGCCGCUAGCAGCCUCUGCCGGGGCCUGCUGCGGGGCUCAGCUCGGCCCGUCCUCCUCCAUAACUCUCUGCCAUGGCAAGGGCGGGAGAAACACGGGGAGACGUGAAGCCAGCCACAGACCCAAAGGCUGCUUAGGUACGAAAAAGUCUGCAGGCCCCAAAUUUCUCCUCUGUAAAACCAAGGGACUUGGACUAGAUGAGCAGCCUCUGAUGACUGACCUUGUAGCUCUGUCAUCAUUGGCUCCAAUUCUACAUACAAUCUUCCACAGCUCUGAAUACAUCUUUGUGUUCCUGGAAAACCUUCUGGUUCCCCAUGGCUUCCUGAACCAAACAACUGCUGAUUACAGUAUCGUGAACUUUCAGCAAGGGCCAGACAGAUUCACAAGUGAAUUCUUUCAAACUUUUAAAGAAUAAUUAAUCCCAAUACUGUACAAGCUAUUUGACAAANAGCAGCUAGGUGCUUACUGGAUACAGUGCUGGACCCCAAAUGAGGAUCAGAGCUCAAAUCUUGCUUCAGAUACUUACUAGCAGUGUGACCCUGGGCAAGUCAUUUAACCAUUGCGUGUCUCAGUUUCCCCAUCUGUAAAAUAGGGAUAAUAAUAGCAUCUAUCCCAAAGGGUCAAGUGAGCUAUGCAAAGUAUUUUGCAAACUUUAAAGCACUAUAGAAAUACCAGUAUUAUUAAAAACCUAGUUGCAGGGGCCAUGGUUAGGUGGAAGAAACAUGCCAAUUCCCUUUUCCCCCUCUUUCCCAGACAAGCCUUUCAUAAGAUUACAAGGCCUUCCAUCACUCCUUCUAAGGAGCUCAUUCAUAUUCAUGACAAACUACCCAGGCUGGGACCUAGAUAUUAGCACAACUGAUUCCCAUGAACUUCUAGUGCCAUCCAGGUGGUAGAAGGGGCAGCCAAUAGAGAGCUAGUCUCAGAGGCAGGAAGACAUUCUGGGUUCAGGUCGUUCCUGGGACACAUCCAACCUCCAACCCUGAACUUUAUGUGCCAAGCAGGAUCUGAUUUGCAUUGGAAAAGCCAGGUCAGGGAGAGAAGCCUCCCGAGAGGCUGAAACAUAAAAAUCCUAACAUGGAAUCAAAGCAUGGUCUCCCCAGGUCUUGCCAACCUUUAACCAUGCAGACUCGCACAGUGUGAUGUGGCAGGGACUACCCUGAGACUGCUCCUCAGUCGUCUGGAAUGGGGUGGCUCAGGUCAAACUGACUGGGCAGCAGAACACCCAAGGGCUGCUCAAAGUGCCCCAGGUGGUCCUUAGCAGAUACGGUGUGCCCUGGGGGGGGGGAGUAAGAGGCAGAAAGGGGCAGGGAGGGAGAACCCAGCACCCUUUUCCACAGACAGAAUCACCUCCAGGCCAUCCUCAUAGGGUCCCCUCUCCUCUCUGAUGCUGCAGGUUCCCGACUUUAUUUCUAGCAGACUCUCGGCUUCUGUCCUGCACCAGUACUUCCCCACCAAUCAAUCCCACAGCAUUGAUAGACUGACCAGAUGGCUAGAAUCUGACUGAACCAAGAUCAUAUUCUGGACUGAAAAAGGUAAGUAUUUACACUCACUUACCAAAGGAUGCUGGGGCCUGGGUAUCCCAUGUAUGGCAGCAGCUUAUCUAGAUAUCUUUCAUACAGAUGCUGCCCUCAGCCAGAAGCACUGACCAUGUGAGGUCAUCUUCACACAAGGAGAACACUAGCUCUGAAAUUAAAGGACCCGAGUUCAAAUUCCACCUCUGACAAUAACCUCAUGACCUUGUGCAAGUCACCUGGCCUCCCUCACUUUUCUCCCUUCUUAAAUAAGGGGUUGUACUAGCUGGGGUCUAUGAACUUGGUACACAUAUUUUAAUAUGUUUUAAUAUUUUAAUAAACUAUAUU